rnacentral:lncRNA from 1 species
AACUGGUUCACAAAUCAUUUCCUUUUAUGCGGUUCGGGAGGGCUGGGCUUCCUGCAACUGGUCUGUCCGGCUUUCUUGCCUGGAAGUGGAAAAACCUGACUGCUACGCGCCUGGCUUUAGUUAGUCCAAUCCAUAUUCAUAUCGAGGGGUAGAAAAGAACUUGAUAUAAAAGAAGUGUUACGUGAAAGAAAGGAAAGUACUACAAAAUGAGACG